UAUACAGCGAAACUGCGAAUGGCUCAUUAUAUAAGUUAUCGUUUAUUUGAUAGUGCCUUACUACUUGGAUAACCGUGGUAAUUCUAGAGCUAAUACAUGCUAAAAACCCCGACUUCGGAAGGGGUGUAUUUAUUAGAUACAAAACCAAUGCCCUUCGGGGCUCUUUGGUGAUUCAUGAUAACUAUACGAAUCGCACGGCCUUGCGCCGGCGAUGGUUCAUUCAAAUUUCUUCCCUAUCAACUUUCGAUGUUUGGGUAUUGGCCAAACAUGGUUGCAACGGGUAACGGUGGGUUAGGGCUCGACCCCGGAGAAGGAGCCUGAGAAACGGCUACUACAUCCAAGGAAGGCAGCAGGCGCGCAAAUUACCCAAUCCCGACUCGGGGAGGUAGUGACAAUAAAUACUGAUACAGGGCCCUUUCGGGCCUUGUAAUUGGAAUGAGUACAAUUUAAAUCCCUUAACGAGGAACAAUUGGAGGGCAAGUCUGGUGCCAGCAGCCGCGGUAAUUCCAGCUCCAAUAGCGUAUAU
rnacentral:rRNA from 1 species